AUGGCUCAGGAUGAACGCUAGCUACAGGCUUAACACAUGCAAGUCGAGGGGCAGCAUGAGAUUAGCUUGCUAAUCUUGAUGGCGACCGGCGCACGGGUGAGUAACGCGUAUCCAACCUUCCCCCUACUCAGGCAUAGCCCGGUGAAAACCGGAUUAACUCCUGAUAGUUUCACUAGAUGGCAUCUGACGGUGAAUAAAGCUCAGCGGUAAGGGAUGGGGAUGCGUCUGAUUAGCUUGUUGGCGGGGUAACGGCCCACCAAGGCGACGAUCAGUAGGGGUUCUGAGAGGAAGGUCCCCCACAUUGGAACUGAGACACGGUCCAAACUCCUACGGGAGGCAGCAGUGAGGAAUAUUGGUCAAUGGGCGCGAGCCUGAACCAGCCAAGUAGCGUGCAGGAAGACGGCCCUAUGGGUUGUAAACUGCUUUUGUGCGGGAAUAAAGUCAGGGACGUGUCCCUGUUUGCAUGUACCGCAAGAAUAAGGACCGGCUAAUUCCGUGCCAGCAGCCGC
rnacentral:rRNA from 1 species